UCGAAACUUCUGGACGGUUCUCGGGUUCGGCUGCCUCUCCCUAGUCUUCUCAUUCCUCUCAAAAUCGUGAAAGGCCUUCGGCCGAGAGAGCUUAGGGUUUGCCAUUUUGUGUUUUGCUUCUAAUAACUAAUUCUUCUUCUCCUCGUACAGUCAGCGCUGGCUCGAUUAUGCGGUAUUCAUGCUUGGUCGCUGUUUGGCUACUGAGGUGUUAUCUUUGAGCAUCUUCUCUCUAGUAUUUAAUAUUUAUCAGCGGCUGCUACGAGCACUCAGAAAGUAAUGAAUCGUAAGCUCGGGGAAUGAUAUUUUCAGAAUGUGAAGGACUUUACAUGGCUCAUUAAGCUGGUUUUCUUUUGCUAUUUAUACAAUGGUUUGCAACCUGCAGGACUAUUUCUCAUGAACAGCACCUCUAAUCUCUCAUCGUCUCUGUUCUUGAGACAUCUCUCUUCCUUUCAGCCCUGUCUCAGCUUCUAGAUAUCCAAAAUAUUAAUCUCUCAAAUCAUACCGAGAAAACCAUAGUAGAGUACAUAAGUCCUCUGGCCAUAUUUAAGGAUCCUUUUAGGAAUUGUAAUAAUAUUCUGCCAUUUCAGGUCAUCGGAAGAAUUAUCGACAACGGAUUCUCCGUUUUCGAACCUCUCCCAUCAUUCUCCGCCUCUGUUGUUGGUUUAUUCACUAAUCACUACUUAUUGGAUCAAAGUUUGUGGAAUUAAUUUAAAAUCGAAGUUUAAAUUUAAUAUUUUUUUUUAUUUUUUUAGGUUCAUGUAAAGCAAGAAUGUGCAUUAAAUGUAAUUUUUAAAAUGAAAUGUUCAAUACAA